GUCCACCUCUCGGUCGUUUCAGCCCGCACGGUUCCUCCGAGGGUGCUCUUCGCCGAAUGUCCGAGGCGGCCGGUACGUUCACUGUGAAAAAAUUAGAGUGUCAGAAUGAGCCCUGCCGGCUUGCAUACGAAAAGCAUGGAAUGAUGGAAAAUGGCCUCGUCCGCGCGUCAUCCGUCAGUCUCCGUUCACGACGAGGCAAUGAUCGAAGGGAGCUAUCGCGGCCAGUCGUAUUGCGAAGUUAUAGGUGAAAUUCUUGGAUCGUCGCAAGACGCACUGCAGCGACGGCGUGUGGCAAGCAUGUUUUCCUCGAUCAAGAGCGAAAGUCGGAGGUUAGAGGACGAUCAGAUACCGUCGUAGUUCCGACCGUAAAUGAUGCCGACUGGCGCUCCGCCGGCUCGGAUGAGCACA